AUUGAACGCUGGCGGCAUGCUUUACACAUGCAAGUCGAACGGCAGCGCGGGCUUCGGCCUGGCGGCGAGUGGCGAACGGGUGAGUAAUACAUCGGAACGUGCCCAGUAGUGGGGGAUAGCUCGGCGAAAGCCGGAUUAAUACCGCAUACGACCUGAGGGUGAAAGCGGGGGAUCUUCGGACCUCGCGCUAUUUGAGCGGCCGAUGGCAGAUUAGCUAGUUGGUGGGGUAAAGGCCUACCAAGGCGACGAUCUGUAGCUGGUCUGAGAGGACGACCAGCCACACUGGGACUGAGACACGGCCCAGACUCCUACGGGAGGCAGCAGUGGGGAAUUUUGGACAAUGGGCGAAAGACUGAUCCAGCAAUGCCGCGUGUGUGAUGAAGGCCUUCGGGUUGUAAAGCACUUUUGGCGGGAACGAAAAGGACUGUGCCAAUACCACGGUUCGAUGACGGUACCCGCAGAAUAAGCACCGGCUAACUACGUG
rnacentral:rRNA from 1 species